UUCCCUGUAACGCGGUGGAUAGCGUGUUGGACUUUUAAUCCAAAGGUCGUGGAUUCGAAUCUCUCCUGGGAUG